rnacentral:rRNA from 1 species
UACGUAGGGCGCAAGCGUUAUCCGGAAUUAUUGGGCGUAAAGGGCGCGCAGGCGGCCGAUUAAGUCUGAUGUGAAAUCCCACGGCUUAACCGUGGAAGGUCAUUGGAAACUGAUUGGCUUGAGUGCAGAAGAGGAGAGUGGAAUUCCACGUGUAGCGGUGAAAUGCGUAGAUAUGUGGAGGAACACCAGUGGCGGAAGGCGGCUCUCUGGUCUGCAACUGACGCUGAGGCGCGAAAGCGUGGAUAGCAAACAGG